rfam:Roseivivax jejudonensis strain CECT 8625 genome assembly, contig: 0002
GCACCCGUAGCUCAGCUGGAUAGAGCGCUGCCCUCCGAAGGCAGAGGCCAAAGGUUCGAAUCCUUUCGGGUGCG